rnacentral:rRNA from 1 species
AUUGAACGCUAGCGGGAUGCUUUACACAUGCAAGUCGAACGGCAGCGCGAGAGAGCUUGCUCUCUUGGCGGCGAGUGGCGGACGGGUGAGUAAUAUAUCGGAACGUGCCCAGUAGCGGGGGAUAACUACUCGAAAGAGUGGCUAAUACCGCAUACGCCCUACGGGGGAAAGGGGGGGAUCGCAAGACCUCUCACUAUUGGAGCGGCCGAUAUCGGAUUAGCUAGUUGGUGGGGUAAAGGCUCACCAAGGCAACGAUCCGUAGCUGGUUUGAGAGGACGACCAGCCACACUGGGACUGAGACACGGCCCAGACUCCUACGGGAGGCAGCAGUGGGGAAUUUUGGACAAUGGGGGAAACCCUGAUCCAGCCAUCCCGCGUGUAUGAUGAAGGCCUUCGGGUUGUAAAGUACUUUUGGCAGAGAAGAAAAGGUACCUCCUAAUACGAGGUACUGCUGACGGUAUCUGCAGAAUAAGCACCGGCUAACUACGUGCCAGCAGCCGCGGUAAUACGUAGGGUGCAAGCGUUAAUCGGAAUUACUGGGCGUAAAGCGUGUGUAGGCGGUUCGGAAAGAAAGAUGUGAAAUCCCAGGGCUCAACCUUGGAACUGCAUUUUUAACUGCCGAGCUAGAGUAUGUCAGAGGGGGGUAGAAUUCCACGUGUAGCAGUGAAAUGCGUAGAUAUGUGGAGGAAUACCGAUGGCGAAGGCAGCCCCCUGGGAUAAUACUGACGCUCAGACAC